rnacentral:rRNA from 1 species
UGGGGGAUAUUGCACAAUGGGCGAAAGCCUGAUGCAGCGACGCCGCGUGGGGGAUGAAGGCUUUCGGGUUGUAAACCUCUUUCGCUAUCGAACAAGGCCCGCUUAGGGUGGGUUGAGGGUAGGUGGAGAAGAAGCGCCGGCUAACUACGUGCCAGCAGCCGCGGUAAUACGUAGGGCGCGAGCGUUGUCCGGCAUUAUUGGGCGUAAAGGGCUUGUAGGCGGCUUGUUGCGCCUGCUGUGAAAACGCGGGGCUUAACUUCGCGCGUGCAGUGGGUACGGGCAGGCUUGAGUGUGGUAGGGGUGACUGGAAUUCCAGGUGUAGCGGUGGAAUGCGCAGAUAUCUGGAGGAACACCGAUGGCGAAGGCAGGUCACUGGGCCAUUACUGACGCUGAGGAGCGAAAGCAUGGGUAGCGAACAGG